rnacentral:rRNA from 1 species
GACGAACGCUGGCGGCGUGCUUAACACAUGCAAGUCGAACGGAAAGGCCCUGCUUUUGUGGGGUGCUCGAGUGGCGAACGGGUGAGUAACACGUGAGUAACCUGCCCUUGACUUUGGGAUAACUUCAGGAAACUGGGGCUAAUACCGGAUAGGAGAUCCUGCUGCAGGGAGGGGGUUGGAAAGUCUCGGCGGUCGGGGAUGGACGCGCGGCUUAUCAGCUUGUUGGUGGGGUAGUGGCUUACCAAGGCUUUGACGGGUAGCCGGCCUGAGAGGGUGACCGGCCACAUUGGGACUGAGAUACGGCCCAGACUCCUACGGGAGGCAGCAGUGGGGAAUAUUGCACAAUGGGCGGAAGCCUGAUGCAGCAACGCCGCGUGCGGGAUGACGGCCUUCGGGUUGUAAACCGCUUUCGCCUGUGACGAAGCGUGAGUGACGGUAAUGGGUAAAGAAGCACCGGCUAACUACGUG